CACAAAGGCUGUAGGAAGACCAGUGAGGGAACACACCUCUGUGGAGAAGGGAGGUGCUUGCUCACUGUGUGGAAGAAGUGCUCACUGUGUGGAAGUACUCACUGUGUAGAAAUGCUCACUCACUGUGUGGAAGUACUCACUGUGUAGAAAGUGCUCACUCACUGUGUGGAAGUGCUCACUCACUGUGUGGAAGAAGUGCUCACUGUGUGAAGGUGCUCACUGUGUGGAAGAAGUGCUCACUGUGUGGUGGCAGCUCUGACACCCUCCCCAAUAGGCAAGUUUUCUCCAAGGCUAAAAGCUGGUGAUGGCUGCCAGGGGUUCCUCCUAGUCUGACUUUUUUUUUUUUAAAAGACUGAUUUUUACUUUAUGUCCAUCGGUGUUUUGACUAUAUGUAUGUCUGAGGUAUCAAAUCUCUUGGAGCUGAAUUACAGACAGUUGUGAGCUGCCAUGUAGUUGCUGUGAGUUGAACCCAGGUCCUCUGGAAGAGCAGCCUGUGCUCUUAACCGCUGAGCCACCUCUCCGGCCCCCUAGGUCUGGCGUUUAACUGCCCCAUUAAGUCUUAAGCAUCAGGCGCUGCUCUGAGACACAGGUGACAGUCCCAUAGAACUUCCUUCACAGAGGUGUCAGGGACAA